rnacentral:rRNA from 1 species
UACGGAGGGUGCAAGCGUUAUCCGGAUUCACUGGGUUUAAAGGGUGCGUAGGUGGGUCUGUAAGUCAGUGGUGAAAUCUCCGGGCUUAACCCGGAAACUGCCAUUGAUACUAUAGGUCUUGAAUUAUCUGGAGGUCAGCGGAAUAUGUCAUGUAGCGGUGAAAUGCGUAGAUAUCGAGAGGAACACCUGCGGCGAAGGCGGGUUGCUGGGCUGAUACUGACGCUGAGGCGCGAAAGCCAGGGGAGCGAACGGG